GUCAUAACUGUCACUAUUUUAAUUGUCAAAAGUUUUGAGGGAAAUUCAAAUAAAAUGUUGCAAUUUCAUUCUACGACGGUGAGAAUUAAGAAAAAAAUUAAUUUAUUUCCUUUUUGACGUUCAAUGUUUUAAUACACUUUUUAUUUAACGAAUCAGGUAACAAAAAUUGAGAUACAGUUCAUUAUUAUGAAACCCUAUCGUCAGGAAUAUCAGCUGAUGAAACGUCAUCAACAGCACUUAUGAAUCGAGGAUUUUUACCUCUUUUAUUAGGUAACCAAAAGGUAAUCAAACUUGAAAAGUCAGCGGGUCCCUCACUAAAACUGGGAUACUAAGGCUACGCAGGGAAUCAUAUCCAUAGCAAUUCUUUUCGUCGCUCUACAACCAUAGCGAUAAGAAGAGGUUCGAUAGGGUUGUUUUGAAUGGCCGCCGAGAGCUCCAGAUCUAACAGCCCUCGAUUUUUUUCUCUGGGGUCAUUUAAGUGUUGUGUUUCAAACACUAUCAGAUUCCCUUGAAGAUCUUUGACAAAACAGAAUAUGCAACCCAUCCAAAAACAAUAUUUCAAAAUGAAUUGUUAAAUAUGGAAUUCAUUUUGAGCAUUUUGUUUGAUAAAAUAGCAUUUUACUAGAUCCUGGUUAAAAUUACUCAAAACCAUGUGUGGAGCUGCCAAAUACGACCUGAAACCCCCAAAUAAUUGCACCAAAAAGUUAACAAAAUAACACAAUAUUAAAAUAUGUCCUUCUGAAAUUAUUUAAUGGUUUUAUUUCGAUAAUCAUACAUUACUUAUCACAAAUAUUAAAUUCAUUUAAAUAAAUGCUAAAAUAUUUAGUAGGAAAUUCUCUUACACAUUCGGCAACCUUAAUCUGUCUCCUAAAAACAAAAAAUUGAGCAUUAUGAUCAGACAGGUUAAAACAAGGACUUCAGAAGAUAAGACAAGACUUGGAUUCAUAUUUGUAAAGAUGUUGUCCAAUGAGCAGUGAUUUUAGUGUUGGAGUUAAUGUAAGGCAAUAUACUGCAAGUGUUAUAGCCUGGUUUUUUGCCAAUGUUCAGUAAUUGUGACAAGGUCACGAGAUAGUGUAGCCAACAGAACUUUGAACUCCAGAACACUUAAGCGUUUAAGCUUUGCACAUUAUAGUUAAGUAACUUUAGUACAAAUUGAGUCCCGUAUAGCAUCUAAUAGGUUAGUAUGUUUAAUUUUGAAAUUCGAAACUUACUCCACGUGUCAUAGGUAUAGGUCUAUGUUCAUCGAUGGCAAUUUAAAUAGUGAUAAUUAUUUAAUAAUUCUCCAAAAUAAUGUCGUGCCAACUUUGACAAACUUAUACCCUGAUCCAGCAAACCCACAAGUUCUAGCUAAUAUCAUGUGGUUUCAGCAAAAUAGAGCACCACCCCAUUACCAAAUCCAUGUCCGGCAGUACCGAAUAUUUCCAAAUCGGUGGAUAGGGAGAUGAGGACCGAUUGAAUGGCCAGCACGAUCUCCUGAUCUGGCAUCAUUAGACUUCUUUUUAUGGGGAUACGUAAAAAAUAUUACCUACAAAACUAAACUCCUUGACAUAGCUGAUUUAAAAGAACGAAUUACGGUUGUGAUUAGCUUGGUUACGAGAUAUUGAGUAAAGUUAAAAGAAAUUUAUAUUUAAGAUUAGGAUGUUGCCAGGACGUUCGUGGCGAACAUAUUAAACUCAUUAUCUCCAUAUUGACGAUAAUGUUUUUUUGUUCUUUAAUUAAGAAGUAAAUAGGAUGUAUUACUUAUUAGUUUUUCAGUAUGUUGUAACAAAUUGUAAAUAUGUAAUAUAAGUAUUAUAUGUAACCAAAUAA
rnacentral:lncRNA from 1 species